GAUAUCGUGGGACGAGAUUGUGUAUAU
rnacentral:sRNA from 1 species